GUGGGGCAAAGUCCUGGUGCCUGGAAGGUUCUGUAAGAUGUCUCUAGCAGCUGUGUCCUUUCUGAAAGCAGCAGCUUCUCUGGACCUGCUGUCUGACUCUUCCAUUAAGCCUGUCAUAUGCUUGAUCUAGAAGCUUACUUGCACCCUUCAUCUGUCUCAGGACCAUUCAGAUCUCUGUGACAGAACUAGAGUGGUCUGACUCAAAGUCCCUGUUCAGACUGGCAUGCACUAAAAUAGGCUGAAUUGCUUUUAGUUUUGUAUCUGACACUCUAGCCCUGUCCUUACAUGUUCCUCUUUUAUUUCACAGAGAGACGAUUAAUAUGAAGCAGCACAGAGUACCUCAGGUAGACUUUUGUAAGUUAUUUUUGUUACUCUCUCUUUUUUUAGGUGAAAGUCUGGAGCAUGGAUUAUCAUGGCCUUGCUGUAUAGAUGUCAAUGAACAAUCUGAGCUGAUUACAGAUAUUUCAGAUGCUCUUAUUAAUCAGAAGUGAUGCAAGUUUGAAAGACAUGCUAAAUAUAUAACCAUCUGUCAAGAUGCUUAUAUUUUUAGCUCACUGGUUAUGAAAUUUUCACAUCUUCUACCUUUUGUCAAUUUUGAUAAAAGCAAACUAAGUUGAGUUUGGGGAAACGCCAGGUUUCAGACCCCCUCUCCACUUUCUUGCUGCUUGCUAACGGACUCAAUUUUAACUUUGUUGGCAAGCAAUAUCUCUACACAAAUGCAGCAUAUGUGUAAGUUGUCAUUCAGAGAAUAAUGUUUGCUAUUUGCUAGGAUAUGGAGCAUGCAGUUUGGUAGACCACCCUGAAAUCACUCUCAAAACCUAAGGGAAAAGUAAAGAGAAAUUGCUAAUGAGCUGUUGUCUGUAACAGAAUGAAUUUUUCAGGAACUAAUUACUAGAUUUAGAGAAAAAGACUCUAAAAUAAAUAUAUAUGACAAUAUGUCUUAAUAUUGCAACAUCUGGUUCUUGUCAGUCUUUCAGAGAAGUACUGCUCACUGACAGCAUAACUUUCACAGCUAGAGAAGGGGAGUAAUUUUUAGGCAGAUCUCAUCUUCUAAUAUUUUUCGAAAUAGGAGUUUCUACUUGAGUUAAACAUUUCCUCCUAUACUUACAUAGCCGAGAACAUAUUAAAUACAAAUGCAGCUGCUGGGAUAUGCUGCAGUUCUCAAUUUCUAUGGUUUAUUUAAUCAAGAAUGUGAAUUUAUUACUUCCUUACUGAUAAAAUUAUGUUUGUUGCAAUGUCAGACUUUGCGGUAUGAACAAAGUCCUGCUGAUGUAACCCCCUCACUGGAAGACCUGCAGCAGCUUAUUAAUCUGGCUGGACCCCUCCAGAGAAAAUCACUGAAAGAGCAGAGUGACUGGAGUACAGCAAAGCAUGAGGAGAAUAAUUGUCCUGAUUUCUCCUGGGAUAGAGUUGAUUUUCUACCUAGUAGCUUACACAGUGCCGCAUUUUGGAUUUAGGAUGAGAAUAAUGUUGAUAACACAGGGAUGUUUUGGUUUAGUUUUUGUUUUGUCUUUGUUUUUGUUUUAGUUGUUGCUAAGCAGUGUUUACAUGAAGUCAAGGACUUCUUCAGCUUCUCACACGACCCCACCAGCAAAUAGGCUGGGGAGCACAAGAAGUUGGAGGGGACACAGCCAGGACAGCUGACCCAACUGACCAAAGGGAUACCCCAUACCACUGUGUAUCAUAACCAGUAUAUAAACUGGGGGGAAAGCUGGCCAGGGGCUGCUGCUUGGGAACUGGCUGGGCAUCAGUCAGUGGUUGGACAGCAACUGCACUGUGCAUCAUCUGUCUUGUAUAUUCUGAUUCUUUUAUUAUUUCUUUUCCUCCUUUUCUGUCUUAUUACACUGUCUUUAUCUCAACUCAUAGUUUUUACUUUUUUUUUUUUUUCCUUCGUGGUUCACUUACCCAUCCCACUGGAAUGGGGGGGAUGAGCAAAUGGCUAUGUGGUGUUUAGCUGCCUGCCAUAUUAAACCAUGAUAACAGUUUACCUUCAGUUCCUACUCUGACUUUUCCAUCUUUGUGGGCUUAAGUGAAUAACUUCAUAGGUCUUAAUUCUCUGUUUCAUAAAAAGUCCAAGAUAAUACUGCAUUUCCUAAACCAUAGGCAAACAUGUAUGAAUAUAUUUCUCCAAAUUACAGGGGAGUUGCAAGAAUUAAUUACUUAAUGUUUGCAAAGUGCUUUGAAGGCAGAAAGCACUCUAUAAAUGCUAAUUAUUAAAUCAAAGGUUUAUCUGACUUUAUUACUAAACCACUAAUAAAAUAAGUUACAUAGCUAUUGCAAGUUGGAAAAA